UACGGAGGGUGCGAGCGUUGUCCGGAAUCACUGGGCGUAAAGGGCGCGUAGGUGGCCGGCGAAGCGUGCGGUGAAAGCUCGGGGCUCAACCCCGAGUCGGCCGUGCGAACUUGCCAGCUGGAGCACUGUAGAGGCAGAUGGAAUUCCGGGUGUAGCGGUGGAAUGCGUAGAGAUCCGGAAGAACACCGGUGGCGAAGGCGGUCUGCUGGGCAGUGGCUGACACUGAGGCGCGACAGCGUGGGGAGCAAACAGG
rnacentral:rRNA from 1 species